GACGAACGCUGGCGGCGUGCUUAACACAUGCAAGUCGAGCGAGGCCCCUCCUUCGGGAGGGUGUCCUAGCGGCGAACGGGUGAGUAACACGUGGGCAACCUGCCCUCAGCUCUGGGAUAACUCCGGGAAACCGGGGCUAAUACCGGAUACGACCUCCACGGGCAUCUGCGGAGGUGGAGAGUUUUUCGGCUGGGGAUGGGCCCGCGGCCUAUCAGCUAGUUGGUGGGGUAGUGGCCCACCAAGGCGACGACGGGUAGCCGGCCUGAGAGGGGGACCGGCCACACUGGGACUGAGACACGGCCCAGACUCCUACGGGAGGCAGCAGUGGGGAAUAUUGCGCAAUGGGCGAAAGCCUGACGCAGCGACGCCGCGUGAGGGACGAAGGCCUUCGGGUUGUAAACCUCUUUCAGCAGGGACGAAGCGAAAGUGACGGUACCUGCAGAAGAAGCACCGGCCAACUACGUG
rnacentral:rRNA from 1 species